UGAUGAUUUCACCUCUUCUCUGACCUCCGACCUCCUCGCUAAACUUCUAGCUCCACCUCUCUAUUCCCGUCCAAUCACAGGCCUGUUACUGCCUUAAUGUGAUUGGACAGAAUGUUGCAACACAACAGCGAUUGUUUUGGGAGGCUUUUGGAUUCUCCUGACUAACACCUUGAAGAAAGGCCUUUUUAUGCCUUGGUACUGGGGCUUUUGUUAGUUACUCUAUAGCUUUUACAGAUGAGAUGCAGCUGGAGCUUUCCUGCCUUCUGCAGCAGCACCGGGUCUGCUUGUUAUUAGAGACUGCUGAGUAUCAUCAGCGUCUGGAUCAUCUAGAACCUUGGCUACUGCCCCAGCGCUCUGGGAGACCUGCUCUCUGCCCUAGUGCUCUGUGCAGCUUGCUCUCUCACAAUGGUUCCUCUCCAGUGCUCGCCCUUGGCUCUCUGUCUCAGUCACGCUUGGCUCUCUGGCCACACAGUCAUCCUUCAUGUUCCAUGUGAACCAUAUUUUUUUUCUGUUUUGGAGCAUUCACACAUGAUUCUAGUGAUUCUUCCUGUAAAAUGCAUUCAAUUCUCUCUUGUCCUUAAACUAAAUAAAAAAAUAUAUGAAGA